GUUUCCAUAGUGUAGUGGUUAUCACGCUCGCUUCACACGCGAAAAGGUCCCCAGUUCGAAAACUGGGUGGAAACA